rnacentral:rRNA from 1 species
UACGUAGGGUGCAAGCGUUAAUCGGAAUUACUGGGCGUAAAGCGCACGUAGGCGGCUUUCUAAGUCGGGGGUGAAAUCCUGGAGCUCAACUCCAGAACUGCCUUCGAUACUGGAGAGCUCGAGUCCGGGAGAGGUGAGUGGAACUGCGAGUGUAGAGGUGAAAUUCGUAGAUAUCUGGAGGAACACCAAUGGCGAAGGCAGCUCGCUGGGACGGUACUGACGCUGAGACGCGAAAGCGUGGGGAGCAAACAGG